UUCGGGGAUAUCGUGGCAGAUUUAGAAGUUGAAAAGAAUGAUAUAGCACUUCAAAAGAAUGGCAGCAGAUAAGCAGUUACGUUAAAUAAUCCCGGAGCUUCGUCGUGAACUGAACAUAUGAUGCACCGAUUAAGGAGUGUUGUGGCUGGAUUAUUGCCUGACUGAUGGUUGCCUGACUGUCCC